rnacentral:lncRNA from 1 species
GAACUGAUAAGGCUGAAGGGUUCCAAAGCGGUGGUGUCGAUAUUCUAUUACAAUUUAAUGAUGGUCUAUGCUCAUGUUUUUGUGUCAAGUUUGGAUAAGGGUUUAAGUUUUUAGCAGUAGUGUAAAUAUCCAAUAGUGGUUGGGCAGGUUUUUAUGGCACAAUGGACUUCUUAAAAGGUAUCUGAAGCCUCGCACUACAGCAAACAAUGAUGAAACCAAUAGAAAUUCCCCUGGUCCAAAUUUAUAUGGAUGGAUUGCUGGAGGAGACUUUUAUACAAUAGAAGGUGCUUGGGAGAAUACCUGCGCGAAAAGAGGAAGGUUGAGAAGGCCAUAUAUCAUCUCAGCUUCUGUGGAAUAAAUGGCAAAGAAUUAAAAUUCAAAGAAAACAAUCAACAUAUCCAAAGAGAGAAUAGAUAUACAAAUAUAACAAUAAAGUUCAUUCUACAGACAAGAGAAGCAAAGUAAACCAAAAGUAUGAGCGUUCUAUAAGGAAUAAUUCUAUUCCAUUUACCCCAAAAUUGUCAAAUGGCAAGAUAGGUGGAUAUAGAGAAUUAAGUGGUUACACUGGCAGAAUUCAGCUCGAGCACGGCUACCUGGGUGGACCUUGUGGGAGAGAAAGCUAAUCCAUUAUGUGAAGGACUAAAACGUAGUUCAAAUUCUAUGAAUUUGUAAGGCCAAGUUAUUUGGACGGGGCAAAGUCUAAAGGGAUUUGACUUACAAGUUGAGGUUGAGCCUAGAACUGCAGUUAAGAUCACGAUAGAGGAUACACAGGAUGAAGUGAGGUUUUUAAAUACAGUGAUCAUUUUCUAUGCUCUUGGGUCUAAACUACCACAUGCAGUGAUAGAAGGGUAUUUAAUCAAAUGUUAAAGAGAAUGGGCAUCGAAAGGGUAGCACUAGUCCAUAGAAGGAAUCUUUUUAGAGAUUUUCUUUAAAUGAGAAGAAGAUUAAAGUAGCAGAAAAAGGUGAAGGUGUCUAAAUAUUUGAUCGUAAACCCAUUGUGGUUAAAUUUGAAAAUUAGAUGUUGAGGUUACAAAGGAAAAGUGACGAAAGUGUUGGUAUGGAUAAGAUUAUCAGGAUUGAGUGUAGACUAUUGUAGUAAUGCAACCUUGACAAAAAAUACAAAACUAAUAGGGACUCUAUUGAAAGCUGACACAACUACUAUUAAUAAGGAAUAUAUGACUUAUGUCAGGGCACUUAUGGAAA